rnacentral:rRNA from 1 species
CAGUCGCCACGGGAAUACGAAGGGGGCUAGCGUUGUUCGGAUUUACUGGGCGUAAAGCGCACGUAGGCGGAUCGAUCAGUCAGGGGUGAAAUCCCAGAGCUCAACUCUGGAACUGCCUUUGAUACUGUCGAUCUGGAGUAUGGAAGAGGUGAGUGGAAUUCCGAGUGUAGAGGUGAAAUUCGUAGAUAUUCGGAGGAACACCAGUGGCGAAGGCGGCUCACUGGUCCAUUACUGACGCUGAGGUGCGAAAGCGUGGGGAGCAAACAGGAUUAGAUACCCCAGUAGUCCCUGUCUCUUAUAU